rnacentral:tRNA from 1 species
GGAGGGGUGGCAGAGCGGUUGAAUGCACCGGUCUUGAAAACCGGCAUGUCGAGAGGCAUCCAGGGUUCAAAUCCCUGCCCCUCCGCCA